UACGUAGGGUGCAAGCGUUAAUCGGAAUUACUGGGCGUAAAGCGUGCGCAGGCGGUUUGGUAAGACAGAGGUGAAAUCCCCGGGCUUAACCUGGGAAUUGCAUUUGUGACUGCCCGGCUAGAGUGUGUCAGAGGGGGGUAGAAUUCCACGUGUAGCAGUGAAAUGCGUAGAUAUGUGGAGGAAUACCGAUGGCGAAGGCAGCCCCCUGGGAUAACACUGACGCUCAUGCACGAAAGCGUGGGGAGCAAACAGG
rnacentral:rRNA from 1 species